ACACUCCUGCGGGAGGCAGCAGUGGGGAAUUUUGGACAAUGGGCGAAAGCCUGAUCCAGCAAUGCCGCGUGAGUGAAGAAGGCCUUCGGGUUGUAAAGCUCUUUUGUCAGGGAAGAAACGGUGAAAGCUAAUAUCUUUUGCUAAUGACGGUACCUGAAGAAUAAGCACCGGCUAACUACGUGCCAGCAGCCGCGGUAAUACGUAGGGUGCAAGCGUUAAUCGGAAUUACUGGGCGUAAAGCGUGCGCAGGCGGUUUUGUAAGUCUGAUGUGAAAUCCCCGGGCUCAACCUGGGAAUUGCAUUGGAGACUGCAAGGCUAGAAUCUGGCAGAGGGGGGUAGAAUUCCACGUGUAGCAGUGAAAUGCGUAGAUAUGUGGAGGAACACCGAUGGCGAAGGCAGCCCCCUGGGUCAAGAUUGACGCUCAUGCACGAAAGCGUGGGGAGCAAACAGGAUUAGAAACCCGUGUAGUCCCAUG
rnacentral:rRNA from 1 species